rnacentral:rRNA from 1 species
UGGGGGAUAUUGCACAAUGGGCGAAAGCCUGAUGCAGCGACGCCGCGUGGGGGAUGAAGGCUUUCGGGUUGUAAACCUCUUUCGCUAUCGAACAAGGCCCGCUUAGGGUGGGUUGAGGGCAGGCGGAGAAGAAGCGCCGGCUAACUACGUGCCAGCAGCCGCGGUAAUACGUAGGGCGCGAGCGUUGUCCGGAAUUAUUGGGCGUAAAGGGCUUGUAGGCGGCUUGUUGCGCCUGCUGUGAAAACGCGGGGCUUAACUUCGGGCGUGCAGUGGGUACGGUCAGGCUUGAGUGUGGUAGGGGUGAAUGGAAUUCCAAGUGUGACGGUGGAAUGCGCAGAUAUAUGGAGGAACACCGAUGGCGAAGGCAGGUCACUGGGCCAUUACUGACGCUGAGGAGCGAAAGCAUGGGUAGCGAACAGG